AACGACGCUCGGCGCAGUGCCUAACACAUGCAAGUCGAACGAGACCUUCGGGUCUAGGUGGCGCAACGGGUGCGUAACGCGUGGGAAUCUGCCCUUGGGUUCGGAAUAACUCGCCGAAAGGCGUGCUAAUACCGGAUGAUGUCGUAAGACCAAAGAUUUAUCGCCCAGGGAUGAGCCCGCGUAAGAUUAGGUAGUAGGUGGGGUAACGGCUCACCUAGGCGACGAUCCCUAGCUGGUCUGAGAGGAUGACCAGCCACACUGGAACUGAGACACGGUCCAG
rnacentral:rRNA from 1 species